GCCCUGCUUGCUACCUCCUAAUACGGGCCCUGGCUUUCAUAUGCAGAAACCCAGUUGUUGUGCCACAGGUGGGCUGUCGAGUUUUUAUAGCACAUUGGGGGGGGGGCCUUAGAAAGAAAAAGGUUGAGAACGCUCCUCCAUGACAAAAUCUG